rnacentral:rRNA from 1 species
AUUGAACGCUAGCGGGAUGCCUUACACAUGCAAGUCGAACGGCAGCGCGGACUUCGGUCUGGCGGCGAGUGGCGAACGGGUGAGUAAUGUAUCGGAACGUGCCCAGUAGCGGGGGAUAACUACUCGAAAGAGUAGCUAAUACCGCAUACGCCCUACGGGGGAAAGGGGGGGAUCGCAAGACCUCUCACUAUUGGAGCGGCCGAUAUCGGAUUAGCUAGUUGGUGAGGUAAAGGCUCACCAAGGCGACGAUCCGUAGCUGGUUUGAGAGGACGACCAGCCACACUGGGACUGAGACACGGCCCAGACUCCUACGGGAGGCAGCAGUGGGGAAUUUUGGACAAUGGGGGAAACCCUGAUCCAGCCAUUCCGCGUGUGCGAUGAAGGCCUUCGGGUUGUAAAGCACUUUUGGCAGGAAAGAAAUCGCAUGGAUUACUACUCUGUGUGGAUGACGGUACCUGCAGAAUAAGCACCGGCUAACUACGUGCCAGCCGCCGCAGUAA